rnacentral:rRNA from 1 species
AUUGAACGCUGGCGGCAGGCUUAACACAUGCAAGUCGAGCGGGGAAGGUUGCUUUGGUAACUGACCUAGCGGCGGACGGGUGAGUAAUGCUUAGGAAUCUGCCUAUUAGUGGGGGACAACAUUCCGAAAGGAAUGCUAAUACCGCAUACGCCCUACGGGGGAAAGCAGGGGAUCUUCGGACCUUGCGCUAAUAGAUGAGCCUAAGUCGGAUUAGCUAGUUGGUGGGGUAAAGGCCUACCAAGGCGACGAUCUGUAGCGGGUCUGAGAGGAUGAUCCGCCACACUGGGACUGAGACACGGCCCAGACUCCUACGGGAGGCAGCAGUGGGGAAUAUUGGACAAUGGGCGGAAGCCUGAUCCAGCCAUGCCGCGUGUGUGAAGAAGGCCUUUUGGUUGUAAAGCACUUUAAGCGAGGAGGAGGCUCCUUUAGUUAAUACCUAAAGAGAGUGGACGUUACUCGCAGAAUAAGCACCGGCUAACUCUGUGCCAGCAGCCGCCGUAA